UGGGGAAUAUUGCACAAUGGGCGCAAGCCUGAUGCAGCCAUGCCGCGUGUAUGAAGAAGGCCUUCGGGUUGUAAAGUACUUUCAGUCGGGAGGAAGGUGUCAAGGUUAAUAACCUUGGCAAUUGACGUUACCGACAGAAGAAGCACCGGCUAACUCCGUGCCAGCAGCCGCGGUAAUACGGAGGGUGCAAGCGUUAAUCGGAAUUACUGGGCGUAAAGCGCACGCAGGCGGUUGAUUGAGUCAGAUGUGAAAUCCCCGGGCUUAACCCGGGAAUUGCAUCUGAUACUGGUCAGCUAGAGUCUUGUAGAAGGGGGUAGAAUUCCAUGUGUGGCGGUGAAAUGCGUAGAGAUGUGGAGGAAUACCGUUGGCGAAGGCGGCCCCCUGGACAAAGUCUGACGCUCAGGUGCGAAAGCGUGGGGAGCAAACAGG
rnacentral:rRNA from 1 species